GAAGGGAUAUUUAUUUCCUUCUCCGAUAUGUUAGGACGGCAGUUCCCACAAACAUCUUCCCCAACCUCGUACUAGCCGGCUGCGAGAUCCAACGACCUCCGCACGGCAGUUCCAUUAGAGAUGCCUCUAGGGAAGAGAUCCACACGACUAUCCUAGAAAUCCGAAGGUAAUUUUGUUUAACUGUUCAUCUUUGUUCGUCACUCACUGGAUCUAGGCUUGAAAGGCAGCACGCAAUCUUGCUGGGCCAAUCCUCAAUCCUUGACACCCCCGCCACACCUCCGGAGGCCGCAAGCCAUAGCCGACGACCGCCCACUGCACCGCCGGUUCGGUAGCCAUCGCGCCUUGUCCGCUUCUCCAUGCCUCACCUCCUCCUCUUCUCUAUUGCCUGCCUCGUCCUCACCAUCACGGCGCCGCGCGUAUGACUCGCGCUUGCUUCUCUCAAUCGCUUCCGAUCCUGGAGCUGGCGGCUGGCCACCCACCCGGUGCGCCCGUGCGAGCUUUCACUGCUCCCUCCCCCUACGGCCUCAUAGGAACGCUCGUUAUGGUUGUGUCCUGAUGCUGCUCAGGCUUGCCGACUCGAGACCGGGGUACGAUUGAUUUUAUUACUGCCUCUGGCCCCCUUGCUGCUAUAGCUAUAUACUAGUCAAUAGUCAUUUACUCCUGCUAGUAUGAGCUAGUAGCAUUCAACACUACUGGAAUUCACAAUUAUUGUGUUCAUUAGGGACAUAAUUAGAUACAACUAGCGUAGCUUUGAAAGCCGCCUAAGGGGCCAGUACUAUUGGUUAAUCCAUUCAGUAACAUUUCUAGCUGUGGUAUGAUCAGUUAAUAUGUUGCUUGUGUGGCUAGUGUUCCCUACAUUUUCUGCUAAUAAGGUUACUUGUAUGAUAUUUUCUAUGAUUAGUAACAUUUCUAGCUGCUAGCCUGCUACCAUGGUAUGAUCAGUAACAUUUUCUGGUGCCUUACACUGUGGCUGCGCGAAUGACUCGCUCUGAGCCUUCAGCGGCCUCCUCGCUCGGCAAAUUCUCCGCCGACGACAGGGAGAAGGUGCUCACUGCCGUUGGAGUACACACGGCGAUAUCUAUUGCACAACCUACUUCCUAGAUACAGGAAGAUGGUGAUAACCACACUGGGAAUCAUGGCAAAAAUCAUACCAAGGUCAAAUAGAAUGGGCAGGCAACUUGAAUCGUUAAGCAGAGGACUGGGAAUCAAGAUUCCAACCCAAAUCACUGAAGGGAACAAAAGCCAGAGCCACCUAUUCAAGCUACUAAGUUUGCAUUAGAGCUAGAGGGAUGGUCGCCAAGGCCAGGGAUUUACUGUCGAGGUGUACAAGUCCAUGGCAGUGGCUGUUUGUGGAGAUUAGAAGCUGAUGAGGGAGUCUCGUAGCAGAACUUCAAUGUUGAGAUAUGGAAAAGCUACAUAUGUAUCAAGAUAUGUGAAGACUGUCCGCCUCAAACAAGAGGAGUAUUUUGGUGGAGCGAAGUUUAUGAAGACUUUUGUGUGUGUGUUUUGAACUGCAGGGCAUGGAGGUACUGCUGGUAACAAGUUCUGGAUGUCAUUAGGUCUACCAUUGAUAGCUACUGUGAACUGUGCUGGUAACACUGGAGCCAAGAACCUCUACAUCAUUUCUGUGAAGGGAAUCAAGGGCGCCUUAACAGGCGUCCUUCUGCCUGUGUUGGUGACCAUGGAGAAUGGAAAGCCUAACCUUAGGAAGAAGGUGAUGCCAGCUGUCAUUGUGAGGUAGCGCAAGCCAUGGUGCUGAAAGGAUGACGUCUACAUGUACUUUGAAGAAGCAAGACAAAUAUAAGGAUGCUGAACCUAGUGCAAUAGAUCUUUUUAAGGAGAUGCAUUGCAGCAAAAAGAAAGGUUUUAGCAAAAAUGUUCAGAAAGCUAUUGUUGAUAUGGAAGAAAUGGUGGCAACAUCAGUUCAAGAUGGACAACAACCGAAAUAUCCUACAGAAGUUGUUUAUAGUGUGCAACUGGGCUCCAGUGUGUUCUUAUGCAAUCUUGGUCUUUAGUCCGUCUCCAAGAAAAGCUCAACAUCAAUAGUUUUUAUAAAGGUUCAACAACUUCAGGAUCGACUGGAGGCCAAGAAGCAAGAAAAAGAUGGACUUUGGGAAGAAGUGUAAACCUUAAAUGCUCAGGCAGUCAUCUCAGGAGACCAUUGAUAGUAUGAAGAGGUCGACCGAAGAAAAUAACAAUCUCCUUAGUCAACUGUUAAGCUUCAAUAGAGGCCAAGUGCCUCCAUCUCAAGUCUACUUGACCACUAUAGGAUCUGCAGCCUUAUGGUUGCUAUAGUAGCUAGUUACAAUAGCUCUGGAUUUGAAUUUAUAGGAUUAUUUUCAAUUAAGCUUAAUGUUUAAUUCCUUGAGUUGAAGUUAUAGGAUUUUCUUUGGAUCUUAUGUAAAAGGAUUUGUAGAUAUAUGUUUUGAAGUUAUAUGAUUCUUUGUUGGAUGAAAUAUUUGUGUUAAACAAAUUCAUAAGAUAUUUUGGUUGUGAUGUGUAAUAUUCUACGACGAUAUGAAUUUAUAUGACAUCUUCCUUCUGAUGA